rnacentral:misc_RNA from 1 species
GAUGAAGAACGUAGCGAAAUGCGAUAAGUAAUGUGAAUUGCAGAAUUCAGUGAAUCAUCGAAUCUUUGAACGCACAUUGCGCCCCUUGGUAUUCCGAGGGGCAUGCCCGUUCGAGCGUCAUUAUACCCCUCAAGCCUAGCUUGGUGUUGGGGCCUGCUGUUACCGGCAGCCCUUAAAAUCAGUGGCGGUGCCAUCUGGCUCUAAGCGUAGUAAUACUUCUCGCUACACGGUCCCGGUGGAUGCUUGCCAUCAACCCCUAAUUUUCUAUGGUUGACCUCGGAUCGGGUAGGGAUACCCGCUGAACUUAAGCAUAUCAAUAAGCGGAGGA